rnacentral:rRNA from 1 species
CAACUAUGAAUAAGAAGUCCUGCCUGCCCUGUGACUAUAUGUUUAACGGCUGCGGUAUCCUGACCGUACGAAGGUAGCGCAAUCACUUGUCUUUUAAAUAGAGACCUGUAUGAAUGGCAAAACGAGGGCUCAACUGUCUCCUUUCUCAAGUCAAUGAAAUUGAUCUCCCCGUGCAGAAGCGGGGAUAAACCCAUAAGACGAGAAGACCCUAUGGAGCUUUAGAUGCAGGACAGAUCACGUUAAGCACCUCUUAACAAAGAACCAAACCGAACGAACCCUGUCCCAGUAUCUUUGGUUGGGGCGACCGCGAGGAAAAACAAAACCCCCGCAUGGACUGAGGACACACCAUUCUCCCCUCUCCUCACAGCUAAGAGUUUCCACUCUAAGAACCAGAACUUCUGACCUACAAAGAUCCGGCAAUGCCGAUCAACGGACCCAGUUACCCUAGGGAUAACAGCGCAAUCCCCUUUUAGAGCCCAUAUCGACAAGGGGGUUUACGACCUCGAUGUUGGAUCAGGACAUCCUAAUGGUGCAGCCGCUAUUAAGGG